rnacentral:rRNA from 1 species
UAAGGGCGCACGGUGGAUGCCUUGGCACUAGAAGCCGAUGAAGGACGUUACUAACGACGAUAUGCUUUGGGGAGCUGUAAGUAAGCUUUGAUCCAGAGAUUUCCGAAUGGGGAAACCCAGCAUGAGUUAUGUCAUGUUAUCGAUAUGUGAAUACAUAGCAUAUCAGAAGGCACACCCGGAGAACUGAAACAUCUUAGUACCCGGAGGAAGAGAAAGAAAAUUCGAUUCCCUUAGUAGCGGCGAGCGAAACGGGAAGAGCCCAAACCAACAAGCUUGCUUGUUGGGGUUGUAGGACACUCUAUACGGAGUUACAAAGGACGACAUUAGACGAAUCAUCUGGAAAGAUGAAUCAAAGAAGGUAAUAAUCCUGU